rnacentral:rRNA from 1 species
UACAGAGGGUGCAAGCGUUAAUCGAAAUUACUGGGCGUAAAGGGUGCGUAGGGGGUUUGAUAAGUUAGAUGUGAAAUUCCUGGGCUCAACCUGGGGACUGCGUCUGAUACUGUCAGGCUAGAGUUCUGUAGAGGAAGGUGGAAUUUCCGGAGUAGCGGUGAAAUGCGUAGAUAUCGGAAGGAACAUCGGUGGCGAAAGCGGCCUUCUGGACAGGAACUGACACUGAGGCACGAAAGCGUGGGGAGCAAACAGG